rnacentral:rRNA from 1 species
UACGGAGGGUGCGAGCGUUGUCCGGAAUCACUGGGCGUAAAGGGCGCGUAGGCGGCCUGAUAAGUAGGGGGUGAAAUCCUGCGGCUUAACCGCAGGGCUGCCUUCUAAACUGUCAGGCUGGAGCACAGUAGAGGCAGGUGGAAUUCCCGGUGUAGCGGUGGAAUGCGUAGAGAUCGGGAAGAACAUCAGUGGCGAAGGCGGCCUGCUGGGCUGUUGCUGACGCUGAGACGCGAAAGCGUGGGGAGCAAACAGG